GACGAACGCUGGCGGCGUGCUUAACACAUGCAAGUCGAGCGAUGAAGUUUCCUUCGGGAAGUGGAUUAGCGGCGGACGGGUGAGUAACACGUGGGUAACCUGCCUCAAAGUGGGGGAUAGCCUUCCGAAAGGAAGAUUAAUACCGCAUAACAUAAGAGAAUCGCAUGAUUUUUUUAUCAAAGAUUUAUCGCUUUGAGAUGGACCCGCGGCGCAUUAGCGAGUUGGUAAGGGAACGGCUUACCAAGGCAACGAUGCGUAGCCGACCUGAGAGGGUGAUCGGCCACAUUGGAACUGAGACACGGUCCAGACUCCUACGGGAGGCAGCAGUGGGGAAUAUUGCGCAAUGGGGGAAACCCUGACGCAGCAACGCCGCGUGGGUGAUGAAGGUCUUCGGAUUGUAAAGCCCUGUUUUCUAGGACGAUAAUGACGGUACUAGAGGAGGAAGCCACGGCUAACUACGUGCCAGCAGCCGCCGUAACAC
rnacentral:rRNA from 1 species